rnacentral:rRNA from 1 species
UCGAUGAAGAACGCAGCGAAAUGCGAUAAGUAAUGUGAAUUGCAGAAUUCAGUGAAUCAUCGAAUCUUUGAACGCACCUUGCACCCUUUGGUAUUCCGAAGGUACGCCCGUUUGAGUGUCAUUGUAAUCUCACUACAACCGCUUUUUUGUGGUUGCAUGUGGACUUGGAUGUUGCCGUGUAACAAACGGCUCGUCUGAAAUGCCUGAGUGUACCCCUGCUUUGCGGCGUAUUCGGUGUGAUAAAUCUUCACCGGAGUUGACCCUCAGGGUCACGUCUGCUUGACAUGGCUCUAUGCUUCCAACCGUCCUGACAAGACAAUCUUUGACAAUUUGACCUCAAAUCGGGUGGGACUACCCGCUGAACUUAA